rnacentral:rRNA from 1 species
GACGAACGCUGGCGGCGUGCUUAACACAUGCAAGUCGAACGGAAAGGCCCUGCUUUUGUGGGGUGCUCGAGUGGCGAACGGGUGAGUAACACGUGAGUAACCUGCCCUUGACUUUGGGAUAACUUCAGGAAACUUGGUCUAAUACCGGAUAGGAGCUCCUGCUGCAUGGUGGGGGUUGGAAAGUUUCGGCGGUUGGGGAUGGACUCGCGGCUUAUCAGCUUGUUGGUGGGGUAGUGGCUUACCAAGGCUUUGACGGGUAGCCGGCCUGAGAGGGUGACCGGCCACAUUGGGACUGAGAUACGGCCCAGACUCCUACGGGAGGCAGCAGUGGGGAAUAUUGCACAAUGGGCGGAAGCCUGAUGCAGCAACGCCGCGUGCGGGAUGACGGCCUUCGGGUUGUAAACCGCUUUCGCCUGUGACGAAGCGUGAGUGACGGUAAUGGGUAAAGAAGCACCGGCUAACUACGUG